rnacentral:rRNA from 1 species
GACGAACGCUGGCGGCGUGCUUAACACAUGCAAGUCGAGCGGUAAGGCCCUUCGGGGUACACGAGCGGCGAACGGGUGAGUAACACGUGGGUAAUCUGCCCUGCACUCUGGGAUAAGCCCGGGAAACUGGGUCUAAUACCGGAUACGACUCCGCUACGCAUGUGGUGGGGUGGAAAGUUCCGGCGGUGCAGGAUGAACCCGCGGCCUAUCAGCUUGUUGGUGGGGUAAUGGCCUACCAAGGCGACGACGGGUAGCCGGCCUGAGAGGGCGACCGGCC